rnacentral:rRNA from 1 species
UAACACGGGGGGAGCAAACGUUGUUCGGAAUUACUGGGCGUAAAGGGCGCGUAGGCGGCCCUGCAAGUGGUGUGUGAAAUGCCCUGGCUCAACCAGGGAACUGCGCACCAAACUGCGGGGCUUGAGGGCAGUAGAGGAAGCUGGAAUUCCUGGUGUAGCGGUGAAAUGCGUAGAUAUCAGGAGGAACACCGUUGGCGAAGGCGAGCUUCUGGGCUGUCCCUGACGCUGAGGCGCGAAAGCUGGGGGAGCGAACAGGAUUAGAUACCCUGGUAGUCCCAGCCGUAAACGGUGAACACUAGGUGUGGGAGGUGUCGACCCUUUCCGUGCCGUAGCUAACGCAUUAAGUGUUCCGCCUGGGGAGUACGGUCGCAAGGCUG